rnacentral:rRNA from 1 species
UACGUAGGCAGCAAGCGUUGUUCGGAAUUACUGGGCGUAAAGAGUGCGUAGGCGGUUGGCUAAGUUUGGUGUGAAAUCUCCCGGCUCAACUGGGAGGGUGCGCCGAAAACUGGCCGGCUAGAGUGUGGGAGAGGUAAGUGGAAUUCCUGGUGUAGCGGUGAAAUGCGUAGAUAUCAGGAGGAACACCUGCGGUGUAGACGGCUUACUGGACCAUGACUGACGCUGAGGCACGAAAGCGUGGGGAGCAAACAGG